rnacentral:lncRNA from 1 species
CCCGAUUACCUACACAGGCACCCCUGUCCUAACUUGUCUGCGCAGAGAGGGUGUUUAAUUCUUCCACCUGGAGGGCGUGCCGCCUUCUAAUUCACUGUGUCUCUGCCUUCUGUAGGUGACCAUUCUUUGUUUUUGCUCCUAAAGUCCCAGCAAGGGGUGCCUCCUGAUUGGGAGUCUUGUCCUCGCUCCUUGCUCCUGGGCGUCUGCAUUUUCACAACGGCCCUUUGUGGUAGGUAGGUCCUCGCCUCCUUCAAACGACCUUGAGUAGCACUGUCCUCUGCCCCCUUUCUGGCUGCCACAGGAAGAGGCAUGACUGCUGUGAGUCCAGGGCUUGAAGCCAUUUUAGACUCAGGCAGGAAAAAUAAACAGAUGGGGGAGGAGGCUGCCCUCACGUCCUCGCUCUCAUUAUUCACCCAUCCCCAGUGGUCAGUGGGUGACGUAUUUAGGACUCAGACUUGCAGUUUGUCGACUGACUAAACAAUAGGGCUUUAUUGAGCAACUCCCAUGGGCCCGUGUCUCUUAGGCCUAUUUUACAGAAGGAAAAGCUGAGUGAACACAAAGAAAUUGCUCAGAACCAGACAUGGCUGGGGCUGCCUUGGGGUGGUUUUUGUGCUGAAUCACGGGCCUGACUGCUGCCCCAGAGCAAAGGAGAACCGUCUCCUGUGGUCGGUGGAGUUUCACUGCUUCCUCUUCUGACUUUUUCCACUCGGACUGAUCCUCGUCCUUGCCUGGCCACUUCUGCGUGUCCCACAGAGGCGGAACUUUGGGCCAGGUGGGCCCAGGGGGAGAGACCAGAAGGACAGAACAGCCGCUUAGACGGGCUUUCCAGGUGCACUGCCGUAUUUGGUAUACAAAUAACACCUCACGUCUGUGGUGAUGGGUCCUUAGGAAUAGACAGAGAAAUCGCCUUGGAAUUUGGUGACUUCAGGACAUGGCUUUGUUUUAAAAAAUUCAUUUCCAGACCUCAGCCGACAAUUUUUCCCAGCAAGAUGGUUGACCCGGGGCCACUAAAAUGGACAACUCUUUGGAAUGAGUCUGGUGAAGAAGAGGAACUGUAGGCAUAAAGUUAGAGCACAACCUUGGAGCAAGCUGAACUGCAACUGGAGAAGCAGACUUCAGGGGCCCAGACGAAGAGAGGACAGCUCGCUGUGGGUUUAACGUUGACCCUGAUUGCAGACAACCAUCGUCAGGCAGCUGCAGUGCAUCUUCAGCUCAACCUGUUAGAUGGACAAAGGGGGCCUUCAUCCAGGAGGAUGCUGGGGAGGCAGGACCAAGGCUCUGCAUUGCUGAGAUGUGUUUGGCUUGACUGUACCAGCCAAAAACAAGAAGUAACAAACGUAAUGAGGUGGUUGCUGAUCUGUAACCCCCCGGUGAACCUGUUGCAUCUGACAGGCCGUAAAUCCUGAAGCCACUCAAAAGAACUGCAACUGCAAUUGACAUGUUCAGCAAGCUGUUCAAUAACAUGUCGUGGCGUUUUAUACACAUUCAUUCAACAAGCAUUUAUGUACCAGGCACUGUAAGAGAUGCCAGUGUGAGCUUCAGGCUUGGACUCCUUUGAAUUUCUGAACCACAUCUGGGAAAGAGCUAUAAUGUGUGUUUGGGAGAUUAGCUGCCUGAUGGGAAUCAGGGAUGGGAUCCUGGAGCCAACAGAUUGGUGUGGCUAUGUCCCAAAUGAACCCCGUUUUAAUCUGGAUGAAUAGAAAGAGCGUCUAGAAAAAAAUGUCAGGCCGUGUCUGAAGAAUUGUGCAAAAGUCUGAUGUGCCUGGCUUCCAGCUUGAAGAUUGCCUCAUGGUCUCCAAAGACAGUUGGAGCUCCAACCAUCACAUCUUCAUUUCAGUUGGAGCAUAUUUAUGAAUUAUUCAUGUAAUUAAAAAAACUUCAUGAUGACGUACGAAAGCUGUGGAGUGUUUGGAGCAGGCAGCUCGAGAGACGCAUCAGGAGGGGGUAUGUGCAUUUCACGCACUCCGAGAUGACUUGUUGAGAAGCCUUCUCCUCAAAGCCAGUGACCCAGGGGCCAGUCCCCGUCACCGCCUAGGAAUGAUGGGAUGAGUCCACAGCCCAGAGGAUGACUUCCUGGAGUCGGCACAUCACAGAUUUGUCAUGUAACAUUCUCCAGACUUCAGGCAUCCAUGACGAUGACAUGGAUAUGGUUCUCGUCGAGGGAUAAAAAAAAAUUCUUUCGCAACUUGCAACCAAACAGAAACCCAUCAACAAAAGAACAAAAAAAUGGCAAGUGUUGGUGGC